rnacentral:lncRNA from 1 species
ACAGAAUAAAGACACCGAUGAAAAGGGAGGGGUGGGAGAAGCUGAACACAGACCACAGGGGGAGCUGCUAGCAGUGCUGCACCCCUUCCCAAACAUGGCCGCUUUUUGAGACUGAACUAGCUGUGGGCUUUGAAGCAAAAGCCCUAUGAAGAAGGCAUAACAAGACUUUACCACAGAGGCUACGAAUAAUACCUUUGAUCCACUGAGCACCUACUCUGUGCCAGCCCCUGGGCAGGAACUGGCAUGCAUGGGCAUGUAUGAUUGCACCAGAAAUAAGUUCUAUCAUUGGCCCUGUUUACUCAUGAACACAUGAAGCUUGCUAUGAAAGUUUAAGACACCCAAGGCCACAAGGCAGUCCCGUGGCCAUGCCAAACCAGCCUGCAGCAGAGCAGGAAUGCCAACCCCAGGUCUGUGCUUGAGCUCCUGUACCUCUGUCUCUGUGGCAGCACGAACAGGCCUCAGGGUGGAAAAUGAAAGAUGCUUAAGGUCACUGCCCCUCCUGUUCUGUACACAAGCCUAAGCUCGGGAGGAAAUAAUUUGAGGUAUCUGGAAGAAGCAGAGAGAGCAGGGCAGCUCUGAAGUCACUGCGAGGCUGUGAGAGGUCAGCCAGCGCUUCAAAGGACCCCAGGACCUUUGCAUAACCCUGGACUGAAUGGGAAGGGAAAGUCCCAGUCAUGACAGAAACGGAAUUUCCCACCAACUCAGUAGGAGGUUUGGGGUUCAGGGUCAGUUUCAUGGCAGUGCAAACAAAAUAAAGAAAAUGUGAUAUUUAUUGCUUACUUAAAUUUGUGGACCAAACUGCCUACCAUGCUAUCCACACUGUUUCCUGCAGGUGGUCAAUGUGGGCUUAAGGGAAAAGUAACUCAUCUUAAUAUUUGCUUAAAUCAAAUGGAAUAUAGAAAGUAAAUAAAUCUGCUGCCAAGCCAUCAAGUAGGGCAUUCUAAACCCAAAAUAAAGAGCCUAUGGACUGUCUGUGGAUUUAGAUUAUGCAUAGUUUUCUGCCACCACUCCCUGUAUUCAAAUCAAUAGUCACAUUUCAUUGCAGACACUUGGAGCUGUCUGGGUUCAAAUCCCAGCUCUGUUGCUUAUUAGCUGAGACACUUCAGCCAAGGUACUGACACUCUCUGUGCCUCAAUUUCCCCAGCCAUUAAGUAGGAGUCAUAAUUGCAUAACCCCCACAGGGUGGAUGUGACAAUUCAACCGGAUCACAAAAGUGCAUGCUCAGCCUAGUGCCUGGCACACUGUAAGGAUCAAUAAACAGGAGCUAUUAUUAUUAUGCUAAUUUGAAGGAUUCUUGUUUUUAAACGUCCUCAUUUCACAUUGCAGAUACCCAAAUAGAAACACAGAUUUUCAUUUGCUUACAAACCUUCCACUUUUCUCCAGCUAGAAGUUACAGGUGGCCCCUAUGGGUGAAUGUGUUAGGUAACACUCACACUUUAAGCAAGGGGAAAUGCAGGCCCAGAGAGAGU